UAUACUGGAUUGACUAUCCUACACCUUGCUGCUAGCUACAGCGGGACCUGCAGGUCUGCGGGUGCCAAACGUCAUUCCGUUAUUAUGACCAUUCUUAUGUCGUUGUUACCAGUCAAUAGUAUGGUACAAUUAAUCACAUGAUGCCUUAAUAUAAAUCCGGUUUAAGGUAAUUAGUGCAACAGUAGUUCUUAUAGCACUACGUUUUAGUACUACAUUAAUUUUCCCUGUACACAUAUUUAGUGAUCCUUUCACUUAAACUAUAAAUGUAAAAACUAUAUUUUGUUAAUAAUAGUUACACUUGGGAAAAUUACACACUUUUACAUGACACGAACAUUUAGAACAGUUAAGUCUUGGUAGAAGACUACAUUGAGAACAGUUAGGUCUUGGUAGAAGACACCCUUAUAUAAUAGUAGGAAUCAUAGGGAUUUCUAGAGUUUUUCAAACGUUUACAGUUGUUUUACAAACAUUUUCAUACUUACAGUUCAUAUACAUUUUCAAUACUUACAAUUCAUUUACUUACAAAUUCUUACAUACAAAUUAAGACACUAAAUACUUAUGAUCUCACCAGCUUCAAAGCUGAUACUCGCUUUCAAAAUUACUUGUAUCCUCAGGUCAUCAUAGACAGGUACCGAUGCAAGGAGAAAGGAAGAUGGAGCUUGUUCAAGACUCAUCUUUCAUUUUGAUUUAUGCUUUAGUGUUUAUCAAAAUUUGACAGAACACACUUGUAUAAUAAUUAUAUUAUUAAUGCAAUGGAUGAUGUUGUUGCUUGUUUACUACUUUUCAUUGUUGUGAUACUGUACAUGACGUCCUCCGCCCCAGAACGUUUCCGCCGUUCUUGGUUUUGGGGUGUGACAGAUUGGUAUCAGAGCAUUGUUUAUAGUGAAUUAAGUAUAUCAACCCAUAAAAGAUAUACUAACUAUAAAUACAUAAGGGAUUAAAAAUACUCUGACCAAGAGUUUAUACUUUAAAUAAUAAAAUAUUUAAGUAAGUAUACGUGCCUGCAUUCAUACUAAAAUCAGUGUCACUAGGACAGUACAAAAGAAUUACGAUUGUUGGGCAACACAAGUGGGCUUAGAGACAUAUGGUCAAAACUGGGAAGAUAUAGCCUGAUCACCUAUAUUAUCCGAGGGUUGACUAGCAUGUGCCUAAGUUUAAUUGUGUGGUUGCAACAAUGCUAAAAUCUUACCAACCCUACCACAAUGAGAACAAUAGAACAUAACAUUAAAUUUAAAAUACUAUAGGAGUAUUUGGUGUUACUAUAAGUACUUUAUACUUGAGAACUAAAACGGGAUCUUCAUUACUAAGUUGAUAGUUGCUAAGUGGAUACACUAAGGCUAUAUGUAAUUAGGAUGUUAUAGACUUAGAAUCUGUGGAAAUUUUACUUCACCCCUAUUCUGUGUGAAUACGGAGUUAAGGUCACUUAUUCAAAGGUCUAUCCUGUUUAAAUUACAUAUAACUGGUAUGCACUUCACAAAUAGAGAUGUAAUUGAUGAAGAUUUUCUAAAUAAUUAUCUAGAUAGUUCGUCUAAUAAUUAUUUUCUUACCCCUAAAUUCUCGCAUAGAUAACAUGGCUGUACUCCAUCCCCACGGCAACCAGUAUCUUCCGAAUGAAGUCAUAGCUGGUUGGUUUGGAGAAGAACCAGAGAAUGAUCAUCCUAUCCCCUUGAAUAAUCACCAUGAUGACAACCUUUCGGACGAUGCUAGCUCCGAACCAGAGGUUGAGAACCUACCCCGAGCAACUCCCUUUCCAAUUCCUAACCCUCGUCCAACUUUUCAUGGCCCGACCCUGAGUGAGUGGAAUGCUUGGAAAGAUGGAGCCAAUGACAAGAUCAGCCCCUGUCAUUUAAUGGCGACCGAAGCUUUUACAACUUGAGCAAUGGGGGCUCAGCAGAUAGAGUCUUACCAAUCUUGGUCCGUAGAGUGUCUGAAAUGAGAUUCAAGGUAGGACAGCCCUACACUAGAUUUCCGAAGAUGUCACCGAUACGAGAAUACAUACCCUCCGCACCAUUAGUCUAGAAGAUGCUCGCGUGAGAGAAGAGAGAAACCAUGAAACCCUGCUGCAAGCACUAGCUGAAUCAUGAGCCAAAGUCAUAGAACUUCGAGUACGUCAUAGGGUGUACAACAAACACCUACUUGAUGAGGAACGUCGACUGGCUGAACUGAGAGUUCACCAGAGAGAUGACUGUCGGCAAGAGUAGAUGUUUUACCUUACUUCCCUUGUUAGAAAGAAAUCGUUUUCUAUCUUUGCCCGAUGUGGCAUUUUCUAUGAAAUUACCUUGUACUGUAAGUACUUUAGGUUAGGUCCUUAUGCUGUCAAGAACUAUCUUCUUGGGAUAUGAUGUAAGACCUUUACAAGGUCAUUUUUCCUGAAUCUUUACGUCGUGAAUAUCAAAGAUAUUGACAGCCGGCUAACUUCUGUGUCAUUCUUCAUUCAAGUACUCUUAUCAUACUUUCAUUGGAGUCUAUCUGAAUCAUGCUUUAGUCAAGUCAUUAGACUAUAGUAAUUUAGCUCCGGAGACAUUUCCAUGUCUUUUUCAGUGGUUGGAUCUGGUUAUUCACCAAUCCACGGUACCUCGGCUUGAACGACAAACAUCUUGAGACCAUUCUACGAACUUACUUCUACUCAUUACUAGGACUGCAUCAUAGGGAUGUAGGUCAAACCUUCGCAAUCAUACCUCCAAUCCGCACUAGGACUGCAUCAUAGGGAUGUAGGUCAACCUUUCGAGAACAUACUCUUACUCUUUUCUUGAACAAUCUAAGUACAUCUAGAGUCAACCAGAAGCGCUCACAAAAUCCUUAUCUUUCGUGUUACAGAAUCAUGUCGUCAUCAGGAAACAAUCGGUCGGACAACGAAACCUCUACCUUUCCUAUGGACGCCGCUACCUUCCAAACCGCAGUUACAACUGCCGUGAUGGCUGCCGUGACAGCUAUCCUUGCGCACCGUAGCGCUAUCAGCACAAGCAAUGCUGAUGUUGGGAUUGAAGAUUCCAAUCGUAGUAUCAAUCCAGGAAGUUGCCAAACAGUAAUAGUUACAGGCUCGCAAAGCCGAAAGACAGAGAACAAGAAACGAAAGCGUCAAGACCAGAAAGAACGCAAGAAAUCCCAAAGGCUUGCUAUGCAACAACAACAAGUGGAAAGCCCUGCCAUCCCAGUACCGAGCAGGCCAUACGAGGGAAAACUCCCGAAGUGUGAUAAGUGUAGUUCCCAUCAUCAUGGGGCUUGUCAUGAGAUGUAAUGUUGCAAUUGCCUAAAAAUAGGGCACCAUGCUCGUGGCUGUGGAGCACCGACACGACCCAUCACUCAAGUCCCUUUCAUCGGGACUAACCCUACACACGAGAGUAGUUAUAACGCUGAAUGCUUUAGGAAGCAAUUUUCAAAGUGGAGUAACGAGGAAGGCACUCGUUUCCACAUAACACUGGCUAAACACCGCAAUCCCGUCACCAAUGCAAGUACUAGCCAGUCAUGCCACCAAUGCGGUGAGAUAGGGCACGUCAAGAAGGAUUGCAAAGAACUCUGGCGCAGAUGGGAGGAUUCUCAGGAUCACAGCUGUAGGAGAGCCUACUUCGGAACCCUCGUUAAUGUAACUUAGGCGUGUUGCUGUAACAGACUUAUAAACUAUCCAGAAUUGGUGCAACUAGAGUCUUACUUUUCACGAGAUCCUGUCUGUAUAGGCAUGCUCGUGCUGUGUAUACUUGUCUUUUGUAGUAUACCUUAUUCGCAGCAACAAUCUUGUCGUAAGUCUAAAGUACUAUAACUCUGUUCAUGGUUGCACAGUUGUGUUUUGUAUGUAAACGUCUUAUGUUCAAAUCUAAUGUCUUUAAGUUUCAGUAUGAUUCCGACAUUAUCAUCCGACUCGAUUCAAUUUGAUCCUCACGAAAACAGCUUCAUACGUACAUCUCUUUCUUCUAGAUCACUUUACCAGCGAAGCCGUCAUAUCAGAACACCAAAGUACUCAUGCCAGGAGUACCUCUUAGUUAUUUUCUUUUCGAAGAAAGUACAGUACGUCAAGUUCAAUACAAGAUUUAUACGAUUGAUCUAUCACCGAGGAAUGUAUGCAUAAGAGUGAUAUAUAAUCAAGGUUCUACAGGUUUAGAAUUGAUGAUUCCACUUUAACUUCUUUUUCCCCGAUAGGAUGUGAGCUUAAAGAAGAAUCAGUUAUUCGACUACCUUUUCAAUCUUAAUUAUAUACGACUCGUAUACACGAAAUUGUGAUUGUGAAACCAGGUAUGAUUUCUAAUAUGAACUUCAGGACGGAGAACUGCCUAAGACUACGAGUAAUCACAUCGUCAUGUGAACAAACUUAGAACCCAAUACGACUCUUGUAAACAGAUCACCCUAUAGUCUAAACACAUACGAAGACACAAGAACAGUAUAUACAACUUAGCAAACCACACAUAAAUAGAAUUAGAAGACUAGGCUUCUCACCCUAGAGAACCCCAGUCUUAUUCUCCCAGAGAUCGACGGAUUGCAUCGUAUGUGCCUCGAAUAUCGAGGACUCCGUCAAGAUUUUUCAUUAGAAAUCGUUAUCUCUGCCUCGCAUAGAUGAAAUGGUUGAGCAAACGCAAGGAAAGAAUUACUUUCAGAAAUGGAUCUGAGAUCCGAAUAUCACCAGUUCGGGUGUUAGGGAAGGAUGUCCAGAAGAUUAUCUUCCGAACUCGAUGCGGACACUUCGAGUCCGUAGUGAUACCCUUCAGAUAGGACCAAGACGCCCAUAGCUUUCAUGAGCUAAAUGAGUAGGGUACGUCUUUCUUACUUGGAUCAGUUCGUCAUUUCUCCAUGUAAUGACUUACUUAUCUACCCUCGUAGUAAGAAGAAAACCCAUGGAAACAUUUCCUAUAGAGGAACUUUUAGCGAAGUUCUCUAGGCACGAGUUUUGAAAUUGAAGAGUCGAAUUUCUAAGACACACUGUUAGUAAUGUGGGAAGUUUUGAGUACUUUUUCAAUUUGUCAAAACUGUUGAGCAUUUGUCGACACCGGAGACGCCGACAGCCAUUCGCCAAAUUCUAGGUCUUACCGACCUACUGACAUAGUUCAUUCAGAACUCCUCGCAAAUUACAGAAACCCGUACGACUCUGACCCAGCAAGGGGUGGCCUUUGACUGGGAAGUUAAACAAGAAAAGGAACCUUUGGAAUUCCAAGGGAGUGACCAAGUUCUUUAGGAGAACUCACUCUGGGAAUGGCUUAAUACGCUUUGUAUCGCGUGGAAACAAAAAUCCAAUAUAGUUAGGACCUCCGAGAUUCUUAUCUGAAUCGGUCCUAUGCCUCGCACAAACUAGACCUACUUCGCGAACUCAGUAACGUACAUCCUACUCUUCGUGUCUCGAUCGUGAAACCAUACCUUUCAGUUAGGACUCUUGUAAGUCCACUCGUCGAGAUCCUCGCCUUCAUAUUAGAACCGUACUGACCCUCGACCGAGAGGUCAAGCCGACGAAGCAACGCCAUCGCCCGAUAGUGAAGGUUCGUUGGGAUUCCAACCGAGAACCCGAUUUCACUUAAGUGCGCUAGAACCAAUCGAUUAGGAAGUUUCCUCCUCACGACUCGAUCAUUCGUACAUACUUCCUUGCUUAAAUUAUAAUUUCGGGACAAAAUUCCCUUCAACAGGGGGUUGAUGUGACAACCUGAAAUUUCGAUUCUGUACAAACCAUAUCUAGCCAAUAGAAGUAGAUCAGUUUCAGCGAAAACCCAGACUUCGAGUAUGAGUUUGGUAGUUUUCAGGAUUUUACACUUAAGGAGAUAUUAGGACAGUGGAUGCACUAGGGUUUUGUGCAACACUGUUAUUCCAAUACUCUAGGAUAUUAGAGUUCAUUCCGAGAAUAGAAAUAUUUUCUGCCAAAAAUCCAGGACUAUAUAUAGAAAACUGAACCAAAUAGUUCAUUAGUUGAAUUCCAAUUAGAGAAAAGCCAAAAUUCUCUCUUUACGGAUCUUCGGGUUUUUAUCCCAAAUUGUGAGUAACUCUUUCUAGUAGUGUUAGAAAGCUUUAAAUGUGUUCAUAACAUAGAUUACAUAGCUAAAUCAUCCGAUUUAGGAGUUUACUCCCCAAGGUGUUCUUGGGCGGUAAACUCCCGAUACCAAGCCUAGACUGUCUCCCGUGAUAUACUACUGCCUUGGACUUGUAUACGAGUGUAUUAGGGACAUGAUAUCAACCAAGAAUCACCCAAGUUUGGGAGUUCACAGCCCAAGAAUAUCUUAGGUCGUAAACUCCAAAAAGCUUACUCAAAGUGGUGCUUUUAAGGCACCUAAGGCUUAGACUUGAUUUUAGACAUGUACCCUAAAGUGUUUAAAGCCUAGAAAACAUAAGGAAUCACAAGGAUAAAGGAGUUUACGGCCAAGACGAGUUCUUGGGCCGUAAACCCCUAUAAAUGGGACAAAUGACACCCUAACUCCUUCCUUAUGCAUAGAACCCAACAUAGAUCAUAACCUUGAGAUGUUAGAAACUUGAAAACACCAUAAACACCCUCCCAAGGGAGUUUACGGCCGUAAACUCCAAGGGAAUAUGGUCUCUGGGCCGUAAACUCCUUAAAGGAGUUAAUAGGACACCCAAACACUUGUUUAAACCUUGGAACAAUUUACCACUUGAAUUGUAACAACUUUAAGCCUCAAUUAAUGACCCAAAGUAGAGUUUACGGCCAGGAGUUAACUCCCCUGGGCCGUAUACUCCAAAGAAUAUGGUCAUUAGACCUUAAACUCCCAAUUGAGGUAUUACACUCCUUUGUUGCAACCCAUUAGCCUCCUAGCACUUGACCAAAAGUGUUUUCCUCGCGUUAAAAUGUUUAUACUUGUAUAAUUGGUGUUUUAAAUGACUAAUUAUUUAUAUACAUAUGUUUUCAUAUGUAAUUAGGGUCAUUGUGUGUGUCUAAAGUCUUCACUUGACACCAAGCACUUGUCCGAUCCUUCCUUACGAUAACAGUCCGUUCAAUUCCAGUCACUUACUGCAGGUGAGUUCAUACCCCUUAACUAAUGUUUUAAACUAUUUUUAAAUGUUUUUUGGGGGGGGGAUACAAGUAGAAUCAUGCUAGUUAUUAUAUCAAUCACAUGUGAUUAAUAAGUAGAAUUAUGCUAGUUAUUAUAUCAAUCACAUGUGAUUAAUAUGCAGCAUUCAAAUGAUUUACUACACAUUAGCCGUUUUACCAAACAGUUUCCUUCAAAUGAUUUUUAUAAACAUUUUAUAUGUUUUAAACUCCUUAUUACACUAUACAUUUUACUCUGUAUAUCACAUUUCAAACUUAUUUACAAUUGUGUUCCAAACAAAUGUUUCCUUAUACUUAAACUGUUUUAUCAAACCUAUGCCUUCAAACUGAUUUAUUGGUUGACAUCAAGUCGAUUUUUUCUGAAAAUAAUAAUUAUGUUCAAAUGUUUUACAAAACUUAUUUAUGCUUUUAUAUUAUAAAUUGCAUGCCUCUAUAUGUAUAGUUAUAUAAGAAAUGUUUAAAAGACUUAGGAAGGCUAUCCACCCUAUUUCCUUUUCGCGCUUGAGAUGUGGUCUGGUGGGAUAUCGGGUACUCGUCCGAAGGUCGUUUAAAUAUUAGUUAUAUAUCAUGUGUACAUAUAUAGUCAUAAAAGGUCCUUCCAGUUCAUCCCAUGCCCUUGGGUAGCAAGGGUAUACAUCCAUGUCCAUACGUACCAGUUAGAUUACUAGUAAACUACCAUAUGGGUAGUUUAGGAAGAUACUAGAACUAUUACUAGAACGCGAUAUCAUACAAUGAGUCAGUUCAUUCAUGAGUCAAUACUUUCUAGAACAUUCCAGUACAUUACUAUACUUGCUAGAUAGAGAGAGAACACACAUUACAGCUAGCACACGUAGAACAUUUCCGUACAUUACACUUACAUUAAUACGUUAAUAAAAUUGUGAUCCUCUGUAUCGGAGCAUGCCUUAAAUGUCAUGGCCCGAGUUGUAGCCAGAGUCUCUUGAAGGGAGAGCGUGAGUUUGCGUAUAGAUCUAUACUGGAUUGACUAUCCUACACCUUGCUGCUAGCUACAGCGGGACCUGUAGGUCUGCGGGUGCCAAACGUCAUUCCGUUAUUACGACCAUUCUUAUCUCGUUGUUACCAGUCAAUAGUAUGGUACAAUUAAUCACAUGAUGCCUUAAUAUAAAUCCGGUUUAAGGUAAUUAGUACAACAGUAGUUCUUAUAGCGCUACGUUUUAGUACUACAUUAAUUUUCCUUGUACACAUAUUUAGUGAUCUUUUC
rnacentral:lncRNA from 1 species